rnacentral:rRNA from 1 species
CGGACGGGUGAGUAAUGUCUGGGAAACUGCCCGAUGGAGGGGGAUAACUACUGGAAACGGUAGCUAAUACCGCAUAACGUCGCAAGACCAAAGAGGGGGACCUUCGGGCCUCUUGCCAUCGGAUGUGCCCAGAUGGGAUUAGCUAGUAGGUGGAGUAACGGCUCACCUAGGCGACGAUCCCUAGCUGGUCUGAGAGGAUGACCAGCCACACUGGAACUGAGACACGGUCCAG